CGGAGUGUGGCUCAAUGGUAGAGCGCUCGCUUCGGGUGCGAGAGGUUCCCGGUUCAAGUCCGGGCACUCCGA
rfam:Microgenomates (Woesebacteria) bacterium GW2011_GWA1_39_21 TT39_C0025, whole genome shotgun sequence.